ACUGUAUAAAAAAAUAAAGUGAGUUUUUAAAUAUAUUUUUCCUGUUCAGUAGGAGUGGAGUGUAAGAAACCGAGCUUCAGUGACUCCGACCUCCUGAUCCAAACUCGUCAGGAUGAGGUUCAGGUGAAGGACAUGAUGGUCUCCUGUCCAGUGUGUGAGAUGGUGGUGAACAAAGUGCUGCAUUUAAUCCAACAUGAACUCUCGGGGAACAGCAUCGACGCAGCGCUCAACCUGGUCUGCACUAAACUCCUGUUCAAAACCCCCUGUAUACACUUCAUCAACAAAUACAGACACAAGCUGAUUCACGCCAUCUCGUCUGGGAAGAACGCUCACGGGGCCUGCAAGCAUCUGCACUUCUGUAAAUGAACCGAGCACGAAAUUCAGUUUCUGCCUCUUGUGAGUGGUUUUAGGUUUUGCAAUCAGGCUAAAAUUGUUUGUAAAAAUUAAAUA